AUGGGCUUCCUCACUCUUAAAAUAGAGGUUUCCUCCAUUUCACAGACCAUCCUAGAAAUUACCAUGGACUCUCUAGCUCUGUUGCUUUUUGUCUUCUCCAUCUUUAAGCCAGGAUAUUCUGAAAUCCGCUUGACACAGUCUGGUGGGGAAACAUGGAAGCCUGGAACAACCCUACAGCUGACCUGCGCGGUCUCUGGAGACACCGUCACUUCUGGGUAUUCCUGGAAUUGGAUCCGCCAGCCACCCGAGAAGGGACUGGAAUGGAUAGGGAGGAUAUACUACAGUAGUUCCAAAUGGUACACAAAUUAUGGCUCAGCUUUCCAGAGCAGGGUCUCCAUCACGGCUGAUGCCUCCAAGAACAAAUAUUCUCUCGAGCUGAGGUCCCUGACAGCUGCCGACACAGCCGUGUAUUACUGUGCCCGAGAAUCACAGUGA